rnacentral:rRNA from 1 species
UACAGAGGGUGCGAGCGUUGUCCGGAAUCACUGGGCGUAAAGGGCGCGUAGGUGGCUCUAUAAGUCGGGGGUGAAAUGCUGCGGCUCAACCGCAGCGCUGCCUCCGAGACUGUAGGGCUCGAGCACGGUAGAGGCCGAUGGAAUUCCCGGUGUAGCGGUGGAAUGCGUAGAGAUCGGGAAGAACACCAAUGGCGAAGGCAGCUCGCUGGGACGGUACUGACGCUGAGACGCGAAAGCCAGGGGAGCAAACGGG